rnacentral:rRNA from 1 species
UACGAAGGGGGCUAGCGUUGCUCGGAAUGACUGGGCGUAAAGCGCACGUAGGCGGAUCGUUAAGUUAGGGGUGAAAUCCUGGAGCUCAACUCCAGAACUGCCUCUAAUACUGGCGAUCUAGAGUCCGGAAGAGGUGAGUGGAACUCCUAGUGUAGAGGUGGAAUUCGUAGAUAUUAGGAAGAACACCAGUGGCGAAGGCGGCUCACUGGUCCGGUACUGACGCUGAGGUGCGAAAGCGUGGGGAGCAAACAGG